GCAAUUAUGUUAUUAUUGCUGUGGUUGCAAUAUAUGGCCAAAAAGGUUGUAGUAUUUAGAUUGUUAGACAUUACAUACAGCAUAUAAGAUAAUUCUAAGGCAGAGGCUUUCAAACUACAAUAUUUGUCGCUGAGUAUUGUAUCGGUACCCUUCGCCUGAAGUUUUUUUUAUGCCCCCCUUUGAAGAAGAGGGGGUAUAUUGUUUUGCACAUGUCGGUCGGUCCGUCCGUCCGUCCACCAGAUGCUUUCCGGAUGAUAACUCAAGAACACUUAGGCCUAGGAUCAUAAAACUUCAUAGGUACAUUGACCAUGACUGGCAGAUGACCCCUAUUGAUUUUCAGGUCAAAGGUCAAGGUCACAGUGACUCGAAAUAGUAAAAUGGUUUCCGGAUGAUAACUCAAGAAUGCUUAGGCCUAGGAUAAUGAAACUUCAUAGGUACAUUGAUCAUGACUGGCAGAUGACCCCUAUUGAUUUUCAAGGCACUAGGUCAAAGGUCAAGGCCACAGUUACUUGAAGUAGUAAAAUGGUUUCCGGAUGAUAACUCAAGAAUGCUAACACGUAGGAUCAUGAAACUUCAUAGGUACAUUGAUCAUGACUGGCAGAUGACCCCUAUUGAUUUUCAGGUCACUAGGUCAAAGUUCAAGGUCACAGUGACUCAAAACAGUAAAAUGGUUUCCGAAUGAUAACUCAAGAAUGCUUACGCCUUGGAUCAUGAAACUUCAUAGGAACAUUGAUCAUGACUGGCAGAUGACCCCUAUUGAUUUUCAGGUCACUAGGUCAAAGGUCAAGGUCACAGUGACUCGAAACAGUAAAAUGGUUUCCGGAGGAUAACUCAAGAAUGCUUACGCCUAGGAUCAUGAAACUUCAUAGGUACAUUGAUCAUGACUGGCAGAUGACCCCUAUUGAUUUUCAGGUCACUAGGUCAAAGGUCAAGGUCACAGUGACUCGAAAUAGUAAAAUGGUUUCCGGAUGAUAACUCAAGAAUGCUAACGCCUAGGAUCAUGAAACUUCAUAGGUACAUUGAUCAUGACUGGCAGACGACCCCUAUUGAUUUUCAGGUCACUAGGUCAAAGGUCAAAGUCACAGUGACUCAAAACAGUAAAAUGGUUUCCGGAUGAUAACUCAAGAAUGCUUACGCCUAGGAUCAUGAAACUUCAUAGGAACAUUGAUCAUGACUGGCAGAUGACCCCUAUUGAUUUUCAGGUCACUAGGUCAAAGGUCAAGGUCACAGUGACUUGAAACAGUAAAAUGGUUUCCGGAUGAUAACUCAAUAAUGCUUACGUCUAGGAUCAUGAAACUUCAUAGGUACAUUGAUCAUGACUGGCUUAUGACCC